ensembl:misc_RNA Metazoa_SRP Metazoan signal recognition particle RNA
GCCGGGCGUGGUGGUGCAUGCCUGUAGUCCCAGCUACUUGGGAGGCUGAGGUGGGAAGAUCACUUGAGUCCAGGAAUUUGAGGCUGCAGUGAGCUAUGAUUACACCACUGCACUCUAUCCUGAGCAACAGAGUGAGACCCUGACUCAA